rnacentral:rRNA from 1 species
CGAAGCGCAUAAGUUAGAAUCUUCGGAGGAAGGCUUUUGUGACUGAGCGGCGGACGGGUGAGUAACGCGUGGGUAACCUGCCUUACACAGGGGGAUAACAGUUAGAAAUGACUGCUAAUACCGCAUAAGACCACAGUACUGCAUGGUACAGUGGUAAAAACUGAGGUGGUGUAAGAUGGACCCGCGUCUGAUUAGGUAGUUGGUGGGGUAACGGCCCACCAAGCCGACGAUCAGUAGCCGGCCUGAGAGGGUGGACGGCCACAUUGGGACUGAGACACGGCCCCACACUCCUACGGGAGGCAGCACCCCCCACCACCGCACAAAAAGGGAAACCCUGAGGCGGGGGGGCCAAAAAAAAAAAGAAAUAUUUCCCCACCCAAAAAACUAUCAGCAGGGAAGAAAAUGAAAAAAAAAAACUAAGAAGCCCCGGCAAACGACAACAAAACAGCCGCGGUAAUACGUAGGGGGCAAGCGUUAUCCGGAUUUACUGGGUAUAAAGGGAGCGUAGACGGCAAGGCAAGCCAGAUGUGAAAUACCGGGGCUCAACCCCGGG